rnacentral:misc_RNA from 1 species
UCGGCGUUCCCAACCGGCGGCGUAUAGGCUUUUUAUGGAACUUCUUAAGAGACAUGCAUUUUCGCUGAAAAGUCAAACUAAUGCUCCACAUUAUUUAAAGGUCAUGAAAUCGAUAGAUGCUGUUCUCCAUUUAUCCCAGAAUUUUGGUCUGCAAGCUAGUAAUCCUGGGAUCCUCAUCGUUGAGUUUAUCUAUUCAAUUGUGUGGCAGUUGCUUGAUGCAUCAUUGGAUGAUGAAGGGUUGCUGGAACUUACCCUGGAGAAGAAGUCUGGAUGGGCAACAAAACUUCAAGAAAUGGAAAUUGAUGGUCAUGAAAAUUAUGAUGAGAAGAGGGCUGAGCAUCUUGAGAAAUUACAAAAUCUAAAUACAGAAAUGGCUAUCGAGAUAAUUGGUCUAUUUCUAAAAACUAAGCUGACUUCAAGGAUCCUUUACUUGGCACGACAGAACUUGCCUGCACAUUGGUCAAGAUUCGUCCAAAGAUUACAGCUUCUUGGAGCUAAUUCAGCAGCAUUAAGAAAUUUAAAAACUUUGACAGCUGAGGGUCUUCUGCAGUUGACUUCAGAAACUCAUUUAGUAUUGACUCAAGGAUCAAAAACAAGUUCACUGCAAAAGUUUCAUGCUGUUAUGGCUUUGGGAUCUUUAGUGUCUUCUGCAGGUCUUUGUCAUGGAGCUAGUCGUUCUGCUCUUUGGCUUCCUCUUGAUCUUGCAUUAGAAGAUGCCAUGGAUGGGUAUCAGGUUAAUGCAACAAGUGCCAUUGAAAUCAUAACUGGUUUAACUAAAACCCUUCAAGCAAUAAACAACACCACAUGGCACGACACCUUUUUAGGUCUUUGGAUUGCAGCUCUCCGUCUUGUUCAAAGGGUUAGAAUUUGUUAUGUUUAACUUAAAACUCUCUGUUUCUAGUACUGUAAAAGGAAAGAAAUACACACAAAACGCGCUCACGCACAUUUGAGUAUAAAGGAAAGAAAAAUAUUUAGGAACUUAAAAAAUGCUAUGUUUAAUUGUAAAUUACUUAUUGGAGCAUUCAAGUUGGAACUCAAGUCAUUGUAUGUUGUGUGGUCUCAAAUGGAAGUUUUAAGAGAGAAGGGAGGGAGGCACUGUUACAAGUAAUUAUUGCGUUGGUUGGUCAAAUGCCUUGUUAGUUGAAUUCAGUAUCUGGCUAUCUAAAUUUCUUUUGUCAUUAAGGGCUGAGCUAAAUACUGAAGGAGGCCCAUGACCUAUAUUUCAAAAUUUAGUGACCUUAUUGUUGCGCCAGGUCUUGCUUUAUUCUAGAGGCUUCAUAUUUGUUAUGUGGAAAAAAUGAAUGUUAUUUUUCCAGAGCUUCUUAUUCAAUAUAAGAACUUAUUUUUGUAGCUUAUUAAUAAGUCUUCUUAAUUUUCAGGAAAGGGAUCCCAUCGAGGGCCCUAUUCCUCGCCUAGACACUUGCUUAUGCAUAUUACUAUCCAUCAUACCCCUUGUGGUUGCUGAUCUUAUUGAGGAAGAAGAAAAUGUGCCCAUUGAGGAAUCAGAAUGGGUUUCCACAAAUCAUUGGAAGGGAAAAAAGGUUCCUGGAAAGCGCCGAAAUGACUUGGUCUCCAGCUUACAGUUACUGGGUGAUUACCAAGGCUUGCUGAGUCCACCUCAAUCUGUUGUUUCAGCAGCCAACCAAGCUGCUGCGAAAGCCAUGUUGUUCAUUUCAGGAAUCAAUGUUGGGAGUGCAAACUUCGAGUGUAUCAACAUGAACGACAUGCCAAUCAAUUGUUGUAAGUUAUUUCCAGUUCUUAUUCAGUGUGAUGGAUUUUGCUUUCUUCAAUGUGAGUAUACUUUUUGUAUCUGCUUUUGUGCUCCGUGAAGUUUCCUUAGAUGUACUGGGUACUUGGAGGUUGAUGUCCAAAGCAGCAAUAUACAGUGGGUUGGUAGCUUCUACUGGUUAUUCUAUCUGUUACCUGACCAAAAGAAAAAAAAAAUUUGGAACAUAACUUUUUGUAUUGUGUGAAAAUUCUUUUUAGCAACACAUGCUUAAUGGAAGAUUAGUAUGAAAUAUAUAGCCAUGGAUACUAAAGUUUUCUUUGGUUCACAUAUAUUCCCACAUAUCCAUGAAAACCUGAGAGAAUUGCAGAUCCUUUCCGGAAGAAUGGUCUUCCAAUAUCUUAGAUGAAAAUAGAAGAAAUGUCUACAAAUCAAGAAAUUGUAAAGUGCAGUAUACCUGCAAGUGCAUGUACAUGCAUUAGAGUGUACACACAAUGAGAAGCAAGCAUCUUGCCUUUGCUUUGAAUUGGAAUGCAGAAAAAGUUUAUGCGUGGGCAAAGAUCAAUCUGAUUCUGAGGAUAAUAAGAAAAAACUAUACUGUUGAACCACAAUAAAAAAUAUAUUUAUGUACUAAAACAUAGUGGUUGAUCCAAUUCCUGUGAACACAACAUCCCCAGCUUGCAUGAGAAAUUAAAUCUGGACUCUGAGUUGGACUGGUUGAAUUAUUUGCUUUAUUGUGAACUUUGCAGUUUCUAUUUGUUUUCUCAUUGAUGGCCAGCUUAGCUGAUUCAUUUAACAUCAUUUUCUGUUUGUGAUGUUGGUCAAAGUUUUCUUCAAUCAGUCUACUUUAACCUUGAGCUGAUGAUUUACUAUGCUAAUAUUUUCAACAUACUUUUGAGGUUUCUUAAUGUUGCUGUAUGCUAUUCUUUCAGCUGGAAACAUGCGCCAUCUGAUCGUUGAAGCUUGUAUUGCCAGAAACCUAUUGGACACAUCAUCAUAUUUUUGGCCAGGUUAUGUGAAUGGAUCCAUCAGCCAAAUACCUCACAGUGUGCCAGCUCAGGUGCCUGGUUGGUCGUCAUUCAUGAAGGGGGCCCUACUUACCCCGGUGAUGAUCAGUGCCCUGGUUUCAAGCCCUGCUUCAAGGUAUAUCAGAUGCUCUUUUUUGUAAACUAACCAAGGGUAAAGCAACUGAAUUUUAAGCUCAUGGAUUUGAUGGAAGUUUAGCAGAGCUUGAGAAAGUGUAUGAGCUUGCUGUCAACGGGUCAGAUGAUGAGAAGAUAUCUGCUGCUACAAUUCUUUGUGGGGCUUCUCUUCUUCGGGGUUGGAACAUACAGGAACAUACUGUUCAUUUUAUUACUAGAUUAUUGUCUCCUUCAGUUCCUGUGGAUUAUUCUGGGGUUGACAGUCAUUUGAUAAGCUACGCUCCAAUCCUCAAUGUACUUAUUGUUGGACUAGCAUCUGUUGAUUGUGUUCAGAUCUUCUCACUACAUGGCUUGGUCCCACAACUUGCAUGCUCAUUGAUGCCGAUUUGUGAGGUUUUUGGGACAUGUGUGCCAGAUGUCUCGUGGACUCUGCCCACAGGGGAAGAAAUCUCUGCCCAUGCUGUGUUUUCAAAUGCAUUUGCACUUCUUUUGAAGCUAUGGAGGUUUAAUCAUCCUCCUCUUGAACAUGGAGUUGGAGAUGUACCUACAGUUGGAUCCCAGCUGACCCCUGAAUACAUCCUAUCAGUACGAAACUCUUACUUAGUCUCCUCUGGAAAUGUCUAUAAGGAUAGAAACAAAAGGAGGCUUUCUUCAGUUGCAACUUCAUCAUCUCUAAAACCAAUAUUUGUGGACUCAUUUCCAAAAUUGAAAGUCUGGUAUCGGCAGCAUCAAAAAUGCUUAGCAUCUACCCUCUCUGGUCUUGUUCAUGGAACUCCUGUUCAUCAGAUCGUCAAUGUGCUUCUUAACAUGAUGUUCAGAAAGAUUAAUAGAGGGAGCCAGUCUUUAACUACUAUUACUUCUGGAAGUAGUUGCUCAUCUGGAUCUGGAAAUGAGGAUUCUUCUCUAAGGCCUAAAUUGCCGGCCUGGGACAUCUUGGAGGCUGUUCCUUUUGUGGUUGAUGCAGCAUUGACAGCCUGUGCCCAUGGAAGGCUUUCUCCACGCGAAUUGGCUACAGGUCAGUCUGGUGUAUCCCUCUGAUUUCAUUUUUGUAAACAGGCUCUUUUGGAUAAACUAACAUAUCUGUGGAGCUGCUAUUCAGAAAAGUUAUGCCUGAGAGUCUGAUGGCUGCUGGCAAUACUUCCCUGUGAUUUUUUAUGGUGGCUUGUAGCUUAGAUUUUCUAAAAUGACCCUUAUCACCCUUACUUAGUUGAUAAAUCCCUCAAUCACAGUGAAAAUGAGCCACUGUAUAGCUCUUAUCAAUUGUGCUGUCGUAACCUGCAAUUUUUUGAACUCACAGGGCUUAAAGAUUUAGCUGACUUUCUUCCUGCAUCCUUGGCAACCAUUGUGAGCUACUUCUCAGCUGAAGUAAGUCGAGGCGUUUGGAAGCCAGUAUAUAUGAAUGGUACUGAUUGGCCAAGUCCUGCAGCAAACUUAUCCAAUGUUGAGGAAAAGAUCAAGAAAAUCUUGGCUGCUACUGGUGUUGAUAUCCCAAGCCUUGCAGCAGGUAUAAUUUUUCUGCCAUCACAUUUUCUGUAUGCUUGUGAAGUUAUAAUUAUUUUGAGGACUUUACAUGUCCAGAAAAUGAAAAGAAAGGGUCGGGGCAAUGGAGAAUCGUCCACCAGAGCAUAUCUGGCAUAUAUACAUAUAGUUCAAAGUAGUGAUAUCCAGAUUUAGAAGCAUUAACUUCCUACUUUAUAUGGUCACAGUUUGUAUAGAAAUGAUUAUUGGCGAUUAAACUGGCAUCAUAAAAUCUCAUGUUUUAUUUAUCUACAAUACAAAGGGUUUCUUUGAUAUUUUACAAAAGACAUCAUUAUCACAGGAGGGAGUUCUCCAGCUACACUUCCCUUGCCUCUGGCUGCUUUUGUGAGCCUCACCAUAACCUAUAAAAUUGACAAAGCCUCAGAACGAUUUCUCAAUUUGGCUGGUCCAGCAUUGGAGUCACUUGCAGCUGGGUGCCCUUGGCCUUGCAUGCCAAUAGUGGCUUCGCUGUGGACCCAAAAGGCAAAGCGCUGGUUUGACUUCCUUGUGUUUUCUGCAUCUCGUACUGUCUUCCUCAACAACAGUGAUGCAGUGUUUCAGCUUCUUAAAAGCUGCUUCACUGUCACCCUCGGUCUUGGUCCCACAGAUAUCUCAAGCAAUGGUGGUGUUGGAGCACUUCUUGGCCAUGGAUUUGGUUCUCAUUUUCGUGGUGGGAUUUCUCCUGUUGCCCCUGGAAUUCUUUAUCUGCGUGUUUACCGAUCCGUUAGAGAAAUUGUGUUCAUUACAGAAGAAAUUAUCUCUCUCAUAAUGCAUUCAGUGAGAGAAAUAGCUUGCAGUGGACUUCCUAGAGAAAAAUUAGAGAAAUUGAAGAUAACAAAUAAUGGACUGAGAUGUGGACAGGUUUCUUUCACUGCAGCAAUGACUCGGGUGAAACUUGCUGCUUCACUGGGAGCUUCUUUAAUAUGGUUAUCGGGUGGCGUGGGUUUGGUUCAGUCAUUGUUCAAAGAAACUUUGCCUUCUUGGUUUAUUGCUGUUCACAGGUGUGACCAGGAAGAAGGACCUGAAGGGAUGGUUGCCAUGCUUGGGGGAUAUGCACUUGCUUAUUUUGCCGUACUUUGUGGAGCUUUUGCUUGGGGAGUUGACUCGUCAUCAUCGGCAUCAAAGCGGCGUCCUAAAGUCCUUGGUGUGCACCUGGAAUUUCUAGCAAGUGCACUUGAUGGAAAGAUAUCACUCGGUUGUGAUUGGGCAACUUGGCGGUCAUAUGUGUCAGGGUUUGUGAGCCUAAUGGUAGGUUGCACACCUUCUUGGGUGCUGGAGGUGGAUGCAGAUGUUCUGGAGAGACUGAGCAAGGGAUUGAGGCAGUGGAAUGAGGAGGAGCUUGCCCUGGCUUUGCUGGGAGUUGGAGGAGUUGAGACAAUGGGUGCUACCGCUGAACUGAUAAUUGAGGAACAAUGAUUUACAAUUCUUUAUCCAAUUCCAUUUUUAACUUGUCUAGGUUAGCAGUUUUACUCUUUUAACAUGUAGUUGUACAUUAGCUUACUUGCUGGAAUUUUGUGCAGUAACAAACUUUGGUAGUCCUAGUAUGUACAAAUGGAAGAUUUUCAGCUCUUAGUGAAGGGAUAGUUUGUGAAAAAAGGUUUGUUACGCAACAAAAGGUCUUAAGCACGAAGACUGAAAUCUGCAGGAAGAAUAAAGUGGAUCCUGUACAUAGGAAAGACCUGGACAUCUAGCGGGAUCCAUCAGGCGUAUUGAUCGAAUUGCGUCUCUGCAACUCACACACGUACUAACUAUUAAGUUUAUCAUUAUUAAAGGGAUUAGCAUGCUAGCCUCUCGUUGCCUGCAAGAUCAAAUACCAGAGGGAAGGGGGGCAAUAAAAAUGCCUAUUUUGUAGAUUUAUAUAGGAAAAAAAGUACUAAUAUCAUCAAGAUAGUAACUUUGUUAACCUUCAGAUUAACAUCGGAUUCCCUUUACUAACCUCUCAUGGAAAUAAUUCAAUUACAGUUUUGUGCAAACGUCACACCACAUAAAUUAAGAAAGAGAAGUAAAAACUAUCAACUUUAAGAGGAAAAAAUGUGGUGUCAUUCCAGGUUAGAAGCUGUAAUCUGGAAGUUGUUUCAGUCAAAGGCUUAUCAUGUAACACCACUGUAACCUGGCAAUCUCUGCAUUCUAUGACUUCGCAUUGCUCUCCUCACUAAAAAUGCAUCCUCCCACUUCCCUGCAUCUGCAUAUAUGCUGGAUAAAAGAACUCUGCUUGCCCCAUGAGAUGGUUCCAAUCUUGCCAAAUUUUCAGCAGCCCUUUCUCCUACAUCCACAUUCCCAUGAGUUCUGCAUGCUGCUAACAAUGUGCCCCAUAUCACAACAUCUGCCCUCACGGGCAUGCUCCUUAUCAUUUCCUCAGCUUCUUCCAGACGCCCUGCUCUACCCAAGAGAUCCACCAUACAACCAUACUGCUUGAUAUCCGGAUUGAUAUUAUGUACACUCUUCAUGCUCGUAAAAUAUCUCUUCCCCCAGCUCUACGAACCCAGCAUGGCAACAUGCACUGAGGACUCCAAUGAAUGUGAUUGCAUGAAGCUUGAUAUGGCGCCUUUCCAAGUCUGAAAAUAUUUUAAGAGACAACUUUGCAUGUCCAUGCAUGGCCAACCCACAUAUAAUUGCAUUCCAUGGUGAAACGGUAGAUGCAGAAUCUCUGACUUCGUAGAACACCUCUAAGGCAGUGUUGAUGCUCCCACAUUUGGCAUACAUGUCAAUUAUUGCUGCACUUAAAUUGUCACUAAUAGGGAUGGAGUUACCACGCACAUAUUCAUGGGCCCAUCUUCCUUCUUUUAAUGUGCCUAAAGUAGCAAUUGCAGAAAGAACGCUCACCAUUGUUACUUCAUUCGGUUGGAUCCCACUAGCUACCAUCCCAUGGAAUAGUUCUAAUGCCAAAUUAGGUUGCUCGUUCUGUGUGUAACCAGACAUUAUUGUGCUCCAUGAAAAAACAUCUCUCUCAGGCAUCUCAUUGAACAAUUGCCUCGCUUGAUCAAUCAUUCUAUUCUGUAUAAAUCCUGCAAUAAGAGCAUUCCAAGAAGCAAUACUACCGAUUCCAAUUGCAAACAAGCCUCACUGAUCAUGCCACAAGCUGCAUAAAAAUGGAUAACAGUUGCCUGUACAAAAUCAUAACAGUCCAAACCCACUUUUACAAUGGUACUGUGUAAUUGCUGACCCAUGCCAAUCGCCAUUGUUCUCCCACAUGCAGAAAUCAAAUCAACCAUCAUAACAUCAUUAGGUCCCAACCCUUUAGAUACCAUCGAUCGAUAGGUUAUGAAAGCUUCACUUAACUUUCCUACUCGAACAUAACCAUCAAUUAUAGUACACCAUGAAACUACAUCUUUACACGGGAUCCUCUCAAAAACUUCUUUAGCCAAAUCAAUAAACCCUGCUUUUGAAUAGCCAUUUAACAUUACAUUCCAUGAAACCAUAUUUCUUUCAGGCAUCUCAUCAAACAAAGCUCUCGCUUCAACUAAACUUGAACAAACACAAUACAUAUGCAACAAAUUAGUUGAAAUCAGAACAAACCCACUAAACAUCAUCUUGAUCACCAAUCCAUGAAGCAUUCUACAGCCCCAAAUCUCACCUAGAUGAGAAGAAGCGGAGAUCAAAGUUGCCAAAGUCACUUCAUUAGGAACCACGCCCACAUUUCUCAUCUGCUUAUACAGGCCAAUUGCGUCAAUCCAACAAUCAUUUUGGACAAAACCCAUCAUCAUAGUAGUGUACGAAACACAACCUUUUGUAGGCAUUACCUCAAAUAACUUGCGGGCAUCAUCUAAUUUUCCAGAUUUCACAUAACCAGCAAUCAUUAUAUUAUAGGGCACAGGAUCCGAACUGGCACAUGAUUCAAACAAGGAAUUAGCAUCAGCUAAAAUCCCACAUUUGGCAUACAAGCUAAUCAAACUGUUGUGUAUGAACGUGUUUGAAUCAAGGCCGGAUUUCAGAACAAGGCAAUGGAUUUGUUGGCCUUCAUAGAUAGCCAAAUGUGUUGAACAAAAUUUUAGAGCCGAAACCAAAGCCAGCUCGUAAUUGGAAUCCUUUUGGUAUGUUGUGAGAUUGACGAGAGCAUGGAGAUGAAGUAGUGGGUUUUCUCGUUGCUGGGACAACGGCGGGGUUUGGAAAGUUUUGGUAGAUAACCGUUUGAGAGUGGACGCCGGUGAGACAAAAGGAGAAGAGAUGAAAAAACGGAGAAGAGUUUCGAAUUUUGAAGACAGGAUCAUGACUCAUGAGACGGGAUCAUGACUCAUGAGACGAUACCAUGAGAACCUUUUAACGGAUUUUGGAGGGAAUUUUUAACGGAUUUUGGAGGGAAACAACUACUGGGUUCUAC